GGCACAAAAAUGGUAGAUGAACAAAUUCUAUCAGCUAUUCAGCACCUCUUACUGAUCUUUAUGGAACUAGAACUUGAUUUCUACAUUAAAAAAAAAAAUCAUAGCAUGGAUGAUUCACUCUUAAUAAUAAAUACAUAUUCUCUUUUUUCAUGUCUCAUCAUUUCCUCAGCCUCAGCCUCCAUCAGUCUCCAUCACAGCUGAGGAUGUAACAAUAUCCCUUUAAAAAAAGGAAUAUGCAAGUAGAAAGACAACAUGAUUUGCAGGAAAAGUUAACAUAUUUAGAACUACAACUGCCAUCUUCAAAAGGCCUGCUGGCCAGGUGGGCCCUUGAUUGGGGUCUGGAAACUUACGUGGUACAGUUCCCUACAGGCAUAUAAAACUUUCCCUAAAUGGUAAGGGUGGCCCACUGUGCCCAGCUGAAAAAAGAUGUGGUGUAUAUACUGAAUAUCUGCUUUCUUUCUGCAAUUGGAGUCUGGGGACAUGCUAGGCAGAGGGUGCCCAUGUGACCAGCCUCUCAAUGUACCUUGGGGCACUAAGCUGCUAAUGAACAUCCAUAGAUGGUAACAUUUUAUAUGAUGUCACAAUUUGUUGCUGGAGGAAUUAAGCGCAUCCUGUGUGACCCCAGUGGGAAAGGACUUUUUGGAAGCUUAUGCCCGACUUCCUCUGAACUUUGCCCCCAGGCAUCUUUCCCCUUUGCUGAUUUUGAUUUGCUUCCUUUCACUGCAAUAAAUCUUACUGGUGAGGACAACUA